rnacentral:rRNA from 1 species
CCUACGGGAGGCUGCAGUGAGGAAUAUUGGUCAAUGGUCGCGAGACUGAACCAGCCAAGUCGCGUGAGGGAUGAAGGUACAGAGUAUCGUAAACCUCUUUUGUCAGGGAACAAAGGCGGGGACGUGUCCCCGGAUGAGUGUACCUGAAGAAAAAGCAUCGGCGAACUCCGUGCCAGCAGCCGCGGUAAUACGUAGGUGGCAAGCGUUGUCCGGAUUUACUGGGUGUAAAGGGCGUGUAGCCGGGCUGACAAGGCAGAUGUGAAAUCCGGGGGCUCAACCCCCGAACUGCAGUUGAAACUGUUGGUCUUGAGUAGCGGAGAGGCAGGCGGAAUGCCUAGUGUAGCGGUGAAAUGCGUAGAUAUUAGGAGGAACACCAGUGGCGAAGGCGGCAUGCUGGACGACAACUGACGGUGAGGCGCGAAAGCGUGGGGAGCAAACAGGAUUAGAUACCCGUGUAGUC